GCUGGGCACCCUGAGACCAUGGGGAAGCUCGUGGCGCUUGUCCUGCUGGGGGUCGGCCUGUCCUUAGGCGGGGAGAUGUUCCUGGCGUUUAGAGAAAGGGUGAAUGCCUCUCGAGAAGUGGAGCCCGUAGAACCUGAAAACUGCCGCCUUAUUGAGGAACUUGAAAGCGGCUCUGAAGAUAUUGAUAUACUUCCUAGUGGGCUGGCUUUUAUCUCCAGUGGAUUAAAAUAUCCGGGCAUGCCAAACUUUGCACCAGAUGAACCAGGAAAAAUCUUCUUGAUGGAUCUGAAUGAACAAAACCCAAGGGCACAAACACUAGAAAUCAGUGGUGGAUUUGACAAAGAAUCAUUUAAUCCACAUGGGAUCAGUAUUUUCAUCGACCAAGACAAUACUGUGUAUCUUUAUGUUGUGAAUCAUCCCCACAUGAAGUCCACUGUGGAGAUAUUUAAAUUUGAGGAACAACAACCUUCUCUGGUAUACCUGAAAACUAUAAAACAUGAACUUCUCAAAAGUGUGAAUGACAUUGCGGUUCUUGGACCAGAACAGUUCUAUGCCACCAGAGACCACUAUUUUACCAACUCCUUCCUGUCAUUUUUUGAGAUGAUCUUGGAUCUUUGCUGGACUUAUGUUCUUUUCUACAGCCCAAGGGAGGUUAAAGUGGUGGCCAAAGGAUUUUGUAGUGCCAAUGGGAUCACAGUCUCAGCAGACCAGAAGUAAGCUCUUUUAUGUAUUUUUCUAUCCUUUGCCCUUGACAUUUUGGUGGACUCCUUUCCUUACGAGGAAGUUACUUCCUUACUUAGGCUUACAUAGUGAAUAUAUGUGUGGAGGGAUCAGUUGUGGCCAGGGUUCACACUAAAUCUGUGAUCCUAAGCAAUCCAUUUGUUUCCUUGGACUUUAGGUUCUUCCCAGUUAAAGGAGGGAUGUGGACUUACGGAUAUAAGGACCUCAUUCCAAAUUUUUACAUAACUCUUGAAACACACUUUCCUAACACACUACAAAGGAAGAUAAAUGAGCAAUACCCCUGCCCCUUAUGAAAGUACCAAGUAUUUGACCACUUAUGCUAAGUUCAGUUACACAAAAGCUCUUAGGAGAGA
rnacentral:sRNA from 1 species